rnacentral:miRNA from 1 species
UGGAUAAAGAACAAUUCUUAAA